rnacentral:tRNA from 1 species
GGUUCCAUGGUGUAAUGGUGAGCACUCUGGACUUUGAAUCUAGUGAUCUGAGUUCAAAUCUCGGUGGAACCUA